AAUAGAUACCCGGGUAGUCCACGCCGUAAACGAUGAAUGCUAGGUGUUAGGGGUUUCGAUACCCUUGGUGCCGAAGUUAACGCAUUAAGCAUUCCGCCUGGGGAGUACGGCCGCAAGGCUGAAACUCAAAGGAAUUGACGGGGACCCGCACAAGCAGUGGAGUAUGUGGUUUAAUUCGAAGCAACGCGAAGAACCUUACCAGGUCUUGACAUCCCCCCUGACCGGUACAGAGAUGUACCUUUCCUUCGGGACAGGGGAGACAGGUGGUGCAUGGUUGUCGUCAGCUCGUGUCGUGAGAUGUUGGGUUAAGUCCCGCAACGAGCGCAACCCUUGACUUUAGUUGCCAGCAGGUAAGGCUGGGCACUCUAGAGUGACUGCCGGUGACAAACCGGAGGAAGGUGGGGAUGACGUCAAAUCAUCAUGCCCCUUAUGACCUGGGCUACACACGUACUACAAUGGCCGGUACAACGGGAAGCGAAGGAGCGAUCUGGAGCGAAUCCUUUAAAGCCGGUCUCAGUUCGGAUUGCAGGCUGCAACUCGCUGC
rnacentral:rRNA from 1 species